AUUGAACGCUGGCGGCAGGCCUAACACAUGCAAGUCGAGCGGAUGAAGGGAGCUUGCUCCUGGAUUCAGCGGCGGACGGGUGAGUAAUGCCUAGGAAUCUGCCUGGUAGUGGGGGAUAACGUCCGGAAACGGGCGCUAAUACCGCAUACGUCCUGAGGGAGAAAGUGGGGGAUCUUCGGACCUCACGCUAUCAGAUGAGCCUAGGUCGGAUUGGCGGGUUGGUGGGGUAAAGGCCUACCAAGGCGACGAUCCGUAACUGGUCUGAGGGGAUGAUCAGUCCCCUGGCAGUGGGGCACCGGCCCAGCCCCCUGCGGGAGGCACCGGGGGGAAUAUUGGACAAUGGGCGAAAGCCUGAUCCAGCCAUGCCGCGUGUGUGAAGAAGGUCUUCGGAUUGUAAAGCACUUUAAGUUGGGAGGAAGGGCAGUAAGUUAAUACCUUGCUGUUUUGACGUUACCAGCAGAAUAAGCACCGGCUAACUUCGUG
rnacentral:rRNA from 1 species